rnacentral:rRNA from 1 species
CCUACGGGUGGCAGCAGUGGGGAAUUUUGCGCAAUGCUCGUAAGAGUGACGCAGCGACGCCGCGUGAAUGACGAAGGCCUUCGGGUCGUAAAGUUCUUUCGACAGGGAAGAAAAUGCCUAUAAGUAACUGUGUAUGUAUUGACGGUACCUGUAUAAGCAGCCCCGGCUAACUCCGUGCCAGCAGCCGCGGUAAUUCGGAGGGGGCGAGCGUUGUUCGGAAGGACUGGGCGUAAAGAGCACGUAGGCGGUGUUGUAAGUCAUUAGUCAAAGACUAGAGCUCAACUUUAGUAAGGCUGGGGAUACUAGAAUGCUAGAGUAGCAGAGAGGAUUGCAGAAUUCCUGGUGUAGCGGUGAAAUGCGUAGAUAUCAGGAGGAAUACCGUUAGCGAAGGCGGCAAUCUGGCUGGAAACUGACGCUGAGGUUCGAAAGCGUGGGUAGCAAACAGGAUUAGAUACCCGGGUAGUC